rnacentral:piRNA from 1 species
CUCUGAGGAUGAUUGUUGAAUGAAUUCAGGU